AAUGCACACUUUUAAAGCCUGUCGCCAAGCUUGACGUGCAGGCGUCGGAGGUGUGCUAGAGCGAACAGGCCGGGUUUUCGCUAACACCGUGAGGGCCAAGUCCCUAUGACUGGGGUUUGAUAGUGACCUGAGCCACAAGU
ensembl:snoRNA SNORA62 Small nucleolar RNA SNORA62/SNORA6 family